rnacentral:pre_miRNA from 1 species
UUGAAACACUCUCUACUGAACCAGGCUCCACACCAAGUUCACUGGAGUUUGUUUCAGUA